AAAAUUCAAGUUCUGUACAGUUUCUGUAGGCUGCAUGGGAUUUGUAAUUGGGCCAAUAAUAAGAACACCCCUUAAUUUAAUUAAUACGUGCCCUUCAACAGCAUCAGUUGGGCCCUUCCACAGGGUGGGCUUUGUGGUGGGUUCCCUUUUUUCUUUGGAUUCAUAUGGCCUCUGUGUCCUAUGGAGAUUUAGAAGAUGAUCAUCUCCUAUGAGAUCAAUUCCUGCUUCGAUAUUUUUUCCUUUUUUGAAGUCCUAAGUGCACAUGCUGCUUCUUACUUAUGUCCAAAGUCUAGCUUCAUGUACCCUUAAAGAGUAAUGGGUAAGAUUGUUUAAGGUUGG
rnacentral:misc_RNA from 1 species